rnacentral:rRNA from 1 species
CAGCCCAGAGCCUGAAUCAGUAUGUGUGUUAGUGGAAGCGUCUGGAAAGGCGCGCGAUACAGGGUGACAGCCCCGUACACAAAAAUGCACAUGCUGUGAGCUCGAUGAGUAGGGCGGGACACGUGGUAUCCUGUCUGAAUAUGGGGGGACCAUCCUCCAAGGCUAAAUACUCCUGACUGACCGAUAGUGAACCAGUACCGUGAGGGAAAGGCGAAAAGAACCCCGGCGAGGGGAGUGAAAAAGAACCUGAAACCGUGUACGUACAAGCAGUGGGAGCACGCUUAGGCGUGUGACUGCGUACCUUUUGUAUAAUGGGUCAGCGACUUAUAUUCUGUAGCAAGGUUAACCGAAUAGGGGAGCCGAAGGGAAACCGAGUCUUAACUGGGCGUUAAGUUGCAGGGUAUAGACCCGAAACCCGGUGAUCUAGCCAUGGGCAGGUUGAAGGUUGGGUAACACUAACUGGAGGACCGAACCGACUAAUGUUGAAAAAUUAGCGGAUGACUUGUGGCUGGGGGUGAAAGGCCAAUCAAACCGGGAGAUAGCUGGUUCUCCCCGAAAGCUAUUUAGGUAGCGCCUCGUGAAUUCAUCUCCGGGGGUAGAGCACUGUUUCGGCAAGGGGGUCAUCCCGACUUACCAACCCGAUGCAAACUGCGAAUACCGGAGAAUGUUAUCACGGGAGACACACGGCGGGUGCUAACGUCCGUCGUGAAGAGGGAAACAACCCAGACCGCCAGCUAAGGUCCCAAAGUCAUGGUUAAGUGGGAAACGAUGUGGGAAGGCCCAGACAGCCAGGAUGUUGGCUUAGAAGCAGCCAUCAUUUAAAGAAAGCGUAAUAGCUCACUGGUCGAGUCGGCCUGCGCGGAAGAUGUAACGGGGCUAAACCAUGCACCGAAGCUGCGGCAGCGACGCUGAUGCGUUGUUGGGUA